AUUGAACGCUGGCGGCAGGCCUAACACAUGCAAGUCGAGCGGAUGAAGGGAGCUUGCUCCUGGAUUCAGCGGCGGACGGGUGAGUAAUGCCUAGGAAUCUGCCUGGUAGUGGGGGAUAACGUCCGGAAACGGGCGCUAAUACCGCAUACGUCCUUAGGGAGAAAGUGGGGGAUCUUCGGACCUCACGCUAUCAGACGAGCCUAGGUCGGAUUAGCUAGUUGGUGGGGUAAAGGCCUACCAAGGCGACGAUCCGUAACUGGUCUGAGAGGAUGAUCAGUCACACUGGAACUGGGACACGGUCCAGACUCCUACGGGAGGCAGCAGUGGGGAAUAUUGGACAAUGGGCGAAAGCCUGAUCCAGCCAUGCCGCGUGUGUGAAGAAGGUCUUCGGAUUGUAAAGCACUUUAAGUUGGGAGGAAGGGCAGUAAGUUAAUACCUCGCUGUUUUGACGUUACCAACAGAAUAAGCACCGGCUAACUUCGUG
rnacentral:rRNA from 1 species